rnacentral:rRNA from 1 species
UACGGAGGGUGCGAGCGUUAAUCGGAAUAACUGGGCGUAAAGGGCACGCAGGCGGGCUGUUAAGUCAGGUGUGAAAUCCCCGGGCUUAACCUGGGAAUAGCAUUUGAGACUGGGAGUCUAGAGUACGGUAGGGAGGGGUAGAAUUCCCCGUGUAGCGGUGAAAUGCGUAGAGAUGGGGAAGAAUACCGAAGGCGAAGGCAGCCCCUUGGGACGGUACUGACGCUCAUGUGCGAAAGCGUGGGGAGCAAACAGG